UAAAAUGCUGCGAAUUAUGAGAUGGGAGCUGUAGUAGAUCAUUACUCAGUCUAUUAAAAGAAUGUGGUUGAUCUCUGUAUGUUGUGAGAUUCAUUUGUGCAUUUACUCAUUGAAACUUGCACAAAACAUCAUGUUGGCAGGGCUGGCUUCAGUGGAGUGUGACCGGUAUAGUUGUGUGAGGCUCCAAAGCUCAGAAGGACCUUGUUCUUAGUUUAAUGCUCUGCUGUCACCAUCUUGGAAUUUUACUUUUGAACUUGUGUUUUGUCCAUGAAGCCUGAAGGGACAAUGGAAUGAAUGUAUGUAUGAGCAGAGCAGAAGAAAUUCAUGCAAUAUUUGUGUCCACUGUUGCUCAUCACUAUGUUUGCACAUAGUUUGUGAUGUUCCAUGAGUACUGAGUUCUGAUGGACCCAGGAUGCAUCGAAGUUCAGUGAAACUCAGAGCGAGUACAAGGCAUUUCACUGGAUGCAUAAGGACCCAAAUGGAUAUUACCUACUUGGUAAACAUCUGAGGCACAUGAGAAAAACCAUCAUGCAGAUUUGUGAGGUUAGUAAUGAAUUUUGUGCAUCU